rnacentral:lncRNA from 10 species
UUGGGUUGUUUCCCAUCAUCAGGACGUCUGCCUCCCUCCAUGAGCCCUCUAGGGUCCUAGCGAUGUGGCUGUACCCCCUUUGCCCAGCCAGAAGGCACUGCCACCCCACCGUGGGUUCCAUCCUGUUCCUAGCACAGACUCUUGCUGUCAGGUCUUGCAUUCUGGCCAGGGACACUCACUGAGUAUCUGGUAUGUGCCAGACUGUGCCUGAGCUGGGACACACCUGUGCACAGACAGUUACGGCUGUGUCCUUGAGGAACACACCCUUCAGCAGAGAGGACAGGCAGUGGACAAGUCGUUGUAAGUGCAGCUCGUUGUAAGUGAGCAGCAGUGAAGAGCAGCUCGUUGUAAGUGAGAAGCAGUGAAGUGUUUUGGAGGGCACAGGGAUGAGGGACCACCCAACCUAGCUGGAGGCCAGAGCCUGGGCAACACAGCAAGACUCGGUCUCAAAAAAAAGAAAAUUAUAGCAUUCUAAAAAUGUAAAACAAUAUUAACCUUAUGAGUACAAGUUUAAACUAAAGAUCUUUCUCCCACAUCCUUUUACAUGGGCAGAGUUCUUUGUAGAGGGGAGAGUAGAGGAAGGCACUGAGGAAGAGGAGGAUCUGGCACCUGAAUGCAGUCCUCUUCCUCCCUCGAUUGGCUGUGUACAUUCUAGUUCGUUGUUUGACUUUCUCUUUGAAUGGAAGUCUCUAUGGGAACAAGCUGGCUUUCUCAUCCUUGUGUCCCCAGGAGUACCUCCUAAAGUGAGGGCUGGCAUUCAGUAAAGAGGAGUUCAACUCCCGUGAAUUCCUGUCCUAGGUGGGCCUAUCCAAAGCACCAAAUGGGCCAGGCACGUGGCUCAUGACUGUAACCCUAACACUUUGGGAGUCUGAUGUGGGAAGACAGCUUGAGGCCAGGAGUUCGAGACUGUCCUGGGCAACAUAGUGAGACCGCAGCCCCUCUCAAAACAAAUAGCAGGGUAUAGU